rnacentral:lncRNA from 1 species
UUGAUUUUAUAUUAAUAAUAGUUAUUAUAUAUUUAGAGCCUCUUUUAUUAUACAUUGGUGACUCUUGAAAUUUUUUUUUGUUUCUUUUAUUUAGUAUUUAGGACACAUACUAUUAAAAAUUUAUUAGAAAAAAGAUUAAGAAGGAUUUUUGUAUCAAAAGAGGUAGUUAGCCCUCUAUAUGGAUGAAUAGAAAUGGAUGAUGAAAAUCUCUAUUCCUAUUGGCCAAAAGUCAUCUCUAAUAGGCUUCAAUGAAGUUAUCCAAGGCCUUAUUAGAGAUGACGGUUACUCUUUCAAAGACAUUCAAACAUCAAAGGUUAGAGUCGUCAAGAUUAGGAUUUUGGAUAUAAUUUUGGUG